rnacentral:rRNA from 1 species
UAGAGAAUCUUCCACAAUGGACGCAAGUCUGAUGGAGCAACGCCGCGCGAGUGAAGAAGGUCUUCGGAUCGUAAAACUCUGUUGUUAGAGAAGAACACGAGUGAGAGUAACUGUUCAUUCGAUGACGGUAUCUAACCAGCAAGUCACGGCUAACUACGUACCAG